rnacentral:rRNA from 1 species
AACGAACGCUGGCGGCAGGCCUAACACAUGCAAGUCGAGCGGACCCUUCGGGGUUAGCGGCGGACGGGUGAGUAACGCGUGGUAAUAUGCCCUUCUCUACGGAAUAGUCCUGGGAAACUGGGGGUAAUACCGUAUACGCCCUUUGGGGGAAAGAUUUAUCGGGGAAGGAUUAGCCCGCGUUGGAUUAGGUAGUUGGUGGGGUAAUGGCCUACCAAGCCGACGAUCCAUAGCUGGUUUGAGAGGAUGAUCAGCCACACUGGGACUGAGACACGGCCCAGACUCCUACGGGAGGCAGCAGUGGGGAAUCUUAGACAAUGGGGGCAACCCUGAUCUAGCCAUGCCGCGUGAGUGAUGAAGGCCUUAGGGUUGUAAAGCUCUUUCAGCUGGGAAGAUAAUGACGGUACCAGCAGAAGAAGCCCCGGCUAACUCCGUG